rnacentral:rRNA from 1 species
UAACAGGAUUAGAUAUCCUGGUAGUGCACGCCGUAAACGAUGAGUGCUAGCUGUUGGGUGGUUUACCAUUCAGUGGCGCAGCUAACGCAUUAAGCACUCCGCGUGGGGAGUACGGUCGCAAGAUUAAAACUCAAAGGAAUUGACGGGGGGCCGCACAAGCGGUGGAGCAUGUGGUUUAAUUCGAUGCAACGCGCAGAACCUUACCAGCCCUUGACAUGUAUAGGACGAUAUCAGAGAUGGUAUUUUCUUUUCGGAGACCUUUACACAGGUGCUGCAUGGCUGUCGUCUGCUCGUGUCGUGAGAUGUUGGGUUAAGUCUCGCAACGAGAGCAACCCCUGCCUCUAGUUGCCAUCAAGUUUAGGUUUUUACCUAGAUGUUGGGUACUUUAUAGGGACUGCCGGUGAUAAGCCGGAGGAAGGUGGGGAUGACGUCAAGUCUUCAUGGCCCUUAUGGGCUGGGCUACACACGUGCUACAAUGGCAAUUACAAUGGGAAGCAAGGCUGUAAGGCGGAGCGAAUCUGGAAAGAUUGCCUCAGUUCGGAUUGUUCUCUGCAACUCGGGAACAUGAAGUUGGAAUCGCUAGUAAUCGCGGAUCAGCAUGCCGCGGUGAAUAUGUACCCGGGCCCUGUACACACCGCCCGUCACACCCUGGGAAUUGGUUUCGCCCGAAGCAUCGGCCCAAUGAUCACCCAUGACUUCUGUGUUCCACUAGUGCCACAAAGGCUUUUGGUGGUCUUAUUGGCGCAUACCACGGUGGGGUCUUUGACUGGGGUGAAGUGGUAACAAGGUAACCAA